UAAGUAAAUGUCAAAUUUGUUGCUUUUGUUGUGUAUAUAUAUCUAGCAUAGACCCUUUGGUAUCAUGCUCUUCUUUAAUAAAUGUAUAUAUCUAUAUAUUUAUAUUAUAUAUAUUUUAAUUUUUGGUUUGACUCUCAAUCACUACAAAUAGUUUAAGUCAAAAUACAACUUUUCUCAUACUUUCUUAAGCAUGUGGUGUGAUGCAUUAUUUAUGUUAAUAUGCUUAACAUUUUUGGCUAGUUUCAUAGUUAAUAGUCAUGAGUUUUAUGCUUUCUCAAUAUAGUAUGAUUCGAACUAGCAUUACUAAUUAUAUACACACACAAUCCUUAUUGUAGUUCAAAUGGUUCAAGCUUGCAUAUGAAAAUUGCAUUGGUCAUUAGUCUUUAAGCCAAAAAUUAAUUCCUCAUAUCUAAGUUGACUAGUUAUUUGGAAUAAGGAAAAGCUUGUAUUUAAUUUGCAAGACUAUGCUAGGCAAAUAUAUGUGUAUUCAGUAGUCUUUCAUAUUGCAAACAAUCAAUAUUAGGAAUGAAUAUGAAAUAGAUGUUGUCAAGAUUUGCUUUUCAAUGAACCUUUCAAUUUUAAUACCUUAACAUGCUAGUUGCUAUUGGUUUGUUUAUGUUUAACCUAGAAAGCAUAUAAAUUUGCUUCCAUUUUGCAAAAACAUUUCUUUCCAUAUUGUCAUAGUUGUCUUGUGCCAAUCUUAUUCUCCCAAACUUCUGUCGUUGUUAAAAACCCAGCUCGGCUUCUGCACCAUCCAGUUUCUCAACAGGGAAGACCCGACGACUCUCUUCCUCCAUCGUCAUCGCUCAGCUCAGUCCAUCUCUACUUCUCGGUCCAGUGAGCCAUAUAGCAGGCAUAGCUGCAUAUAACAGCCACAAGCUAAAAAAAGAAGCUUCUGGACACACCACUGAAGUUGCUGAACGCACCACUGAUGAUACAUAAAAUGCUGCUGAGUCUGUACCACUGAUUACAUAUGUGGGUCCCAACAAGUAGAACGACAUUAGGAGCAGUCUUCCAAGUUAAGGAACAUUCUUUGGUUGGAUGAAUCCCCUUAUGCAGCGUGCAUAUCAAAGACCAAUAUCAGAGAAGGAAGUGUGGAAGUUAGAUACUUGGGAUAGAAUAGAAACACUGAAUGCUAAGUUCCAAGAAUGUUGGGUUAAAGAAUCUCAGAAGCCAAAGCCAUGGCUGUUAAAAGCAUUAAACAGUAGCCUUGGAGGAAGGUUUUGGUGGGGAGGCUUUUGGAAGAUGUGACAAGCGAAAUAGAAAAUGAUACUUAAUUUUGAAGGCUUUGUGUUGUCAGCUGUAGAAUAUUUUGUGCUGAAAGUAGUAAUUUUUUAAUAUGUUGAAUGUUUAAGACUACUUUAAUUAACAUUUUGUUGUUGAUGACAGUGUUGAAUGUUUUAAACUAAUUUGUGGAUUGUUAAUACAAUGUUGAAUGUUUUUACUUUUUGUUAUUUAAAAA